rnacentral:rRNA from 1 species
CCUACGGGUGGCUGCAGUGGGGAAUUUUGGACAAUGGGCGAAAGCCUGAUCCAGCAAUGCCGCGUGAGUGAAGAAGGCCUUCGGGUUGUAAAGCUCUUUUGUUUGGGAAGAAAUCCCUAAGGAUAAUACCCUUGGGGGAUGACGGUACCAAAAGAAUAAGCACCGGCUAACUACGUGCCAGCAGCCGCGGUAAUACGUCGGGUGCAUACGGUAAUCGAAGUUACUGGGCGUAAAUCUGGCACACAGGGGUGAAAUCCCCGAGCUCAACUUGGGAACUGAACUUGUGACUGCAAGACUAGAGUGUGUCAGAGGGAGGUAGAAUUCCACGUGUAGCAGUGAAAUGCGUAGAUAUGUGGAGGAAUACCAGUGGCGAAGGCGGCCUCCUGGGAUAACACUGACGCUCAUGUACGAAAGCGUGGGGAGCAAACAGGAUUAGAUACCCCUGUAGUC